rnacentral:piRNA from 2 species
UAACUGAUGAAGAUGUGUUCCCCACAAAAU